GCGAACGCUGGCGGCAGGCCUAAUACAUGCAAGUCGAGCGGCCCUUCGGGGCAGCGGCGGACGGGUGAGUAACGCGUGGGAACGUGCCCUUUGGUACGGAACAACUGAGGGAAACUUCAGCUAAUACCGUAUGUGCCCUUCGGGGGAAAGAUUUAUCGCCAUUGGAGCGGCCCGCGUUAGAUUAGCUAGUUGGUAGGGUAAUGGCCUACCAAGGCGACGAUCUAUAGCUGGUCUGAGAGGAUGAUCAGCCACACUGGGACUGAGACACGGCCCAGACUCCUACGGGAGGCAGCAGUAGGGAAUCUUGCGCAAUGGGCGAAAGCCUGACGCAGCCAUGCCGCGUGAAUGAUGAAGGUCUUAGGAUUGUAAAAUUCUUUCACCGGGGACGAUAAUGACGGUACCCGGAGAAGAAGCCCCGGCUAACUUCGUGCCAGCCGCCGCAGUAAUAC
rnacentral:rRNA from 1 species